rnacentral:lncRNA from 1 species
CAGGCCUUCUGUAUGCCAGCACCAAAGGAGCUUCUGUCAUCACAAUCUGCCUGUAACAUCUGCUUAAACAGUGUCCUCAAGUUCCUGUUUACUCUAGGCCAUCAAUAUUGGGAUGAUGAUGAUGACAACAAUGACAAUGAAGAUGAUGAUGGCGUCCAUCCAAUAAAAAUCAAGGGCACAAAAAUGCUCUCCACACGGCACCCGCACUACCUGUCAUUCCAGAUGCUUACCGCUUUAGUGCCUCUUUCAGCAAUAUGAAGUUAAAUCCAGAGAGAGUAUUAGAGGUGAUCCAAAACUCACAUCUGACAGAGAAGUAGCCAGAGGCCCUUUAAAAAUGAAGCCUGCCUGAAAAUUGAGAGAAAGGACUCCAACCCCAAACUAGGACAUGCCAAGACAGAAAAUAAGACAAUUUGACCACAGAGGCAGCGAUUGGAGUGAUGCUGCCGCAACUCAAGGAAAGCCAGAAGCCAUCAGAUGCUGGAAGAGGCAAGGGAAGGAUUCACCAGUGAACUAUAGGAAGGUCCUGAAAGGGAAAAGGUAUAGCCUAAGUAAGAAGACCACAAGAAGUGAUUGCCUAAUAUGAACAACAUUUUCCUUGGGAACAUUUGUGGGAACUGUAGAACAGUGUGGCUGCCUAAAAAGACAAGUAAUAGAUGGAGUUCACAACAGGCUAACAAGAGGAGGAAGACCACAGAUGUAAAGUGCCAUUCUCAUCAUAUCAUAUCGUAGGUACAUGAUACCCACGUGGCUUAUUACUUAUGUUAACAUUGAUUAACUGGCUGAGGUGGUUUUCUCCACUGUAUGUCUCCUAUUUUUCCUCUGUCCAUACCCAGUGUAGCCC